rnacentral:rRNA from 1 species
GACGUAGGGGGCGAGCGUUGUCCGGAUUUAUUGGGCGUAAAGCGCGCGUAGGCGGUCCGUUAAGUCGGGUGUGAAAACCCGGGGCUCAACCCCGGGCCUGCAUUCGAUACUGACGGGCUAGAGGCAGGUAGGGGGAAGUGGAAUUCCUGGUGUAGCGGUGAAAUGCGCAGAUAUCAGGAGGAACACCGGUGGCGAAGGCGGCUUCCUGGACCUGUCCUGACGCUCAGGCGCGAAAGCUAGGGGAGCAAACAGG